rnacentral:rRNA from 1 species
UACGUAGGGUGCGAGCGUUAAUCGGAAUUACUGGGCGUAAAGCGUGCGCAGGCGGUUCGUGAUGUCUGGUGUGAAAUCCCCGGGCUCAACCUGGGAACUGCAUCUGUGACUGCAUAGCUAGAGUACGGUAGAGGGGGAUGGAAUUCCGCGUGUAGCAGUGAAAUGCGUAGAUAUGCGGAGGAACACCGAUGGCGAAGGCAAUCCCCUGGACCUGUACUGACGCUCAUGCACGAAAGCGUGGGGAGCAAACAGG